GAUGAACGCUGGCGGCGUGCCUAAUACAUGCAAGUCGAACGCUGGAAAUCUAGCUUGCUAGAUUGAAGGAGUGGCGAACGGGUGAGUAAUACAUAAGCAACCUACCCACGAAGACUGGGAUAAUCUCUGGAAACGGGGACUAAUACCGGAUAGGUAAUCGGAAGGCAUCUUCUGAUUAUUAAAGGUUAAAAACACUGGUGGAUGGGCUUAUGGCGCAUUAGUUAGUUGGUGAGGUAACGGCCCACCAAGACGAUGAUGCGUAGCCGGCCUGAGAGGGUGAACGGCCACAUUGGGACUGAGACACGGCCCAGACUCCUACGGGAGGCAGCAGUAGGGAAUUUUCGGCAAUGGGGGAAACCCUGACCGAGCAACGCCGCGUGAGUGAUGACGGCCUUCGGGUUGUAAAGCUCUGUUGUAAGGGAAGAACGGUAGAUAGAGAAUAUCUAAAUGACGGUACCUUACCAGAAAGCCACGGCUAACUACGAG
rnacentral:rRNA from 1 species